rnacentral:rRNA from 1 species
UACGGAGGGUGCAAGCGUUAUCCGGAUUCACUGGGUUUAAAGGGUGCGUAGGUGGGCAGGUAAGUCAGUGGUGAAAUCCCCGAGCUUAACUUGGGAACUGCCGUUGAUACUAUCUGUCUUGAAUGUCGUGGAGGUAAGCGGAAUAUGUCAUGUAGCGGUGAAAUGCUUAGAUAUGACAUAGAACACCAAUUGCGAAGGCAGCUUGCUACACGAUGAUUGACACUGAUGCACGAAAGCGUGGGGAUCAAACAGG